rnacentral:lncRNA from 1 species
UUGACAGCUACUAUUAGUUGAGAUCGAUGUCCUAGAUCCCGAGCAAGAGCUGGAAUCAAAGCUAGUUCUGUAGUAGCAGGCAAGGAGCGGGACAGAUUAUCUUCUUUUUCUAUAGGGGUCAAUUGUUGCAUUUCAGCAUCGGUAUCCGCUGCUAAGAUAGAAACACUGGAAUCCUUUCCCAGGGAUAAUUGUUGGACUCCUUUCAUUUUUGAUGAAAGGGGGAUCAUAUCUGUAGUGACUGUUCUCUUGCUGUCUAUGCUGGCCUUCUGAACUACUUUCUCGGUAUUUGCAACAGUUGGCAAAGCUAGUGCAGUAGAUGUCCUGAAAGGGGGAGUUUCGGGGAUAACUUCAUCAGGGCCAUCAGAUGUAGACCCAUCUUCAUAGAAGGCGCGCCAAUAUGGACUAUGCUCGUUGACCUCCGCGCG